rnacentral:rRNA from 1 species
AGAGUUUGAUCAUGGCUCAGAUUGAACGCUGGCGGCAGGCCUAACACAUGCAAGUCGAGCGGUAGCACAGAGAGCUUGCUCUCGGGUGACGAGCGGCGGACGGGUGAGUAAUGUCUGGGAAACUGCCUGAUGGAGGGGGAUAACUACUGGAAACGGUAGCUAAUACCGCAUAACGUCGCAAGACCAAAGUGGGGGACCUUCGGGCCUCAUGCCAUCAGAUGUGCCCAGAUGGGAUUAGCUAGUAGGUGGGGUAACGGCUCACCUAGGCGACGAUCCCUAGCUGGUCUGAGAGGAUGACCAGCCACACUGGAACUGAGACACGGUCCAGACUCCUACGGGAGGCAGCAGUGGGGAAUAUUGCACAAUGGGCGCAAGCCUGAUGCAGCCAUGCCGCGUGUGUGAAGAAGGCCUUCGGGUUGUAAAGCACUUUCAGCGGGGAGGAAGGCGUUAAGGUUAAUAACCUCAUCGAUUGACGUUACCCGCAGAAGAAGCACCGGCUAACUCCGUGCCAGCAGCCGCGGUAAUACGGAGGGUGCAAGCGUUAAUCGGAAUUACUGGGCGUAAAGCGCACGCAGGCGGUCUGUCAAGUCGGAUGUGAAAUCCCCGGGCUCAACCUGGGAACUGCAUUCGAAACUGGCAGGCUAGAGUCUUGUAGAGGGGGGUAGAAUUCCAGGUGUAGCGGUGAAAUGCGUAGAGAUCUGGAGGAAUACCGGUGGCGAAGGCGGCCCCCUGGACAAAGACUGACGCUCAGGUGCGAAAGCGUGGGGAGCAAACAGGAUUAGAUACCCUGGUAGUCCACGCCGUAAACGAUGUCGAUUUGGAGGUUGUGCCCUUGAGGCGUGGCUUCCGGAGCUAACGCGUUAAAUCGACCGCCUGGGGAGUACGGCCGCAAGGUUAAAACUCAAAUGAAUUGACGGGGGCCCGCACAAGCGGUGGAGCAUGUGGUUUAAUUCGAUGCAACGCGAAGAACCUUACCUGGUCUUGACAUCCACAGAACUUACCAGAGAUGCAUUGGUGCCUUCGGGAACUGUGAGACAGGUGCUGCAUGGCUGUCGUCAGCUCGUGUUGUGAAAUGUUGGGUUAAGUCCCGCAACGAGCGCAACCCUUAUCCUUUGUUGCCAGCGGUCCGGCCGGGAACUCAAAGGAGACUGCCAGUGAUAAACUGGAGGAAGGUGGGGAUGACGUCAAGUCAUCAUGGCCCUUACGACCAGGGCUACACACGUGCUACAAUGGCAUAUACAAAGAGAAGCGACCUCGCGAGAGCAAGCGGACCUCAUAAAGUAUGUCGUAGUCCGGAUUGGAGUCUGCAACUCGACUCCAUGAAGUCGGAAUCGCUAGUAAUCGUAGAUCAGAAUGCUACGGUGAAUACGUUCCCGGGCCUUGUACACACCGCCCGUCACACCAUGGGAGUGGGUUGCAAAAGAAGUAGGUAGCUUAACCUUCGGGAGGGCGCUUACCACUUUGUGAUUCAUGACUGGGGUGAAGUCGUAACAAGGUAACCGUAGGGGAACCUGCGGUUGGAUCACCU